rnacentral:rRNA from 1 species
UGAAUACGAGAUGCUACGGCGUCGAAGCAGUGUAUGUCAGACUUCCAAGAAAAGCUCGCAAUGUCAUAAAUAAAGAAUGCCUGUACCAUAACCGACACAGGUGGGUAGGUAGAGUAUACUAAGGGGCGCGAGAUAACUCUCUCUAAGGAACUCGGCAAAAUAACUCCGUAACUUCGGGAGAAGGAGUGCCUUCUUGAAGAAGGUUGCAAUAACAAGAUCCAAGCAACUGUUUAUCAAAAACACAGGUCUCCGCUAAGUCGAAAGACGAUGUAUGGGGGCUGACGCCUGCCCAGUGCCAGAAGGUUAAAGAAGCUGGUUAGCAAUAGCGAAGCUGGUGACUGAAGCCCUGGUGAACGGCGGCCGUAACAAUAACGGUCCUAAGGUAGCGAAAUUCCUUGUCGGGUAAGUUCCGACCCGCACGAAAGGAGUAAUGAUUUGGAUACUGUCUCGGAGAGGGACUCGGUGAAAUAGACUUGUCUGUGAAGAUGCGGACUACCUGCACCAGGACAGAAAGACCCUAUGAAGCUUUACUGUAACUUGAAAUUGAAAUUGGACUUUAUUUGCGCAGUAUAGGUGGAAGGCGUUGAGAUUACUCUUGCGGGAUUAGUGGAGCCAUCAGUGAGAUACCACUCCUAUAAUGUUAGAUUUCUAACUUUGGAUCAUAAUCUGGUCAAAGAACAGUUUCAGGCGGGCAGUUUGACUGGGGCGGUCGCCUCCCAAAUGGUAACGGAGGCGUACAAAGGUUUCCUCUGAACGGGUAGAAAUCGUAUCUAGAGUGUAAAGGCAUAAGGAAGCUUGACUGUGAGACCUACAAGUCCAGCAGGGACGAAAGUCGGUCUUAGUGAUCCGACGGUGCUGAGUGGAAAGGCCGUCACUCAACGGAUAAAAGUUACUCUAGGAUAACAGGCUGAUCUCCCCCAAGAGUUCACAUCGACGGGGAGGUUUGGCACCUCGAUGUCGGCUCAUCGCAUCCUGGGGCGGUAGUACGUCCCAAGGGUUGGGCUGUUCGCCCAUGAAAGCGGUACGCGAGCUGGGUUCAGAACGUCGUGAGACAGUUCGGUCCAUAUCCGGUGUAGGCGUUAGAAUAUUGAGAGGAGCCUUCUUUAGUACGAGAGGACCGAGAAGGACAUACCUCUGGUGUACCAGUUAUCGUGCCAACGGUAACGCUGGGUAGCUAUGUAUGGAGAGGAUAACCGCUGAAAGCAUCUAAGUGGGAAGCCCACCUCAAGAUGAGUAUUCUCA